GGUCUAUGCUUUAAUUGCUCAACAAGAGAGACAAUUCUCUAUUGAGAACUCCCUUGUUCCUCGUGCUCUGCUUGUUGCAAAUGAAUGAACUCAUAAUCGAAGAAAUCAAUUUGGCAUCGACGGAAACAUCAAAUAUUAUAGCAAGAAAUGUUCCUUUUGUGGAAAGUUUGGGCACAUUGUUGAUGUAUACUACAAGAAGCAUGC
rnacentral:lncRNA from 1 species